rnacentral:rRNA from 1 species
GGAGGAAAAGAAACUAACAGGGAUUCCCCUAGUAAGGGCGACUGAACCGGGAAGAGCCCAGCGCAUAACCUCGCGUCCCCACCGGGGCGCGAGGGGUGUUGCGUUCCGGAGGGUCCGGCACGCCGCCCCACACCGCCUAAGUCAUGCUUGAAAGCGGCCACUACCCAGGGAGGGUGAUAGGCCCGUGUGGCGGAGCCCGCGAGGGCAUACGUGGGGCGGUCGGAAAGGGCCUCUCCGUAGAGUCGGGUUGCUUGAGAGUGCAGCCCAAAGUAGG